rnacentral:rRNA from 1 species
UACGGGGGGGGCAAGCGUUGUUCGGAAUUCCUGGGCGUAAAGGGCUCGUAGGCGGUCCGGUAAGUCGGUUGUGAAAACUGGGGGCUCAACCCUCAGACGCCGACCGAUACUGUCGGGCUAGAGUCCGGAAGAGGCGAGUGGAAUUCCUGGUGUAGCGGUGAAAUGCGCAGAUAUCAGGAGGAACACCAAUGGCGAAGGCAGCUCGCUGGGACGGUACUGACGCUGAGGCGCGAAAGCGUGGGGAGCAAACAGG